UUGAUGGUGUAGAUUACAUCACCACCUGAUCCUAGACAUGUUGAUGGUGUAGAUUACAUCACCACCUGAUCCUAGACAUGUUGAUGGUGUAGAUUACAACACCACCUGAUCCUAGACAUGUUGAUGGUGUAGAUUACAUCACCACCUGAUCCUAGACAUGUUGAUGGUGUAGAUUACAUCACCACCUGAUCCUAGACAUGUUGAUGGUGUAGAUUACAUCACCUGAUCCUAGACAUGUUGAUGGUGUAGACAUCACCACCUGAUCCUAGACAUGUUGAUGGUGUAGAUUACAUCACCUGAUCCUAGACAUGUUGAUGGUGUAGAUUACAUCACCUGAUCCUAGACAUGUUGAUGGUGUAGAUUACAUCACCACCUGAUCCUAGACAUGUUGAUGGUGUAGAUUACAUCACCUGAUCCUAGACAUGUUGAUGGUGUAGAUUACAUCACCACCUGAUCCUAGACAUGUUGAUGGUGUAGAUUACAACACCACCUGAUCCUAGACAUGUUGAUGGUGUAGAUUACAUCACCUGAUCCUAGACAUGUUGAUGGUGUAGAUUACAUCACCACCUGAUCCUAGACAUGUUGAUGGUGUAGAUUACAUCACCACCUGAUCCUAGACAUGUUGAUGGUGUAGAUUACAUCACCACCUGAUCCUAGACAUGUUGAUGGUGUAGAUUACAUCACCUGAUCCUAGACAUGUUGAUGGUGUAGAUUACAUCACCACCUGAUCCUAGACAUGUUGAUGGUGUAGAUUACAUCACCACCUGAUCCUAGACAUGUUGAUAGUGUAGAUUACAUCACCUGAUCCUAGAACCGUUUAUAACUUUUUAACCAAUUUCUGCUUAAAAAUAAAACUGUGACUUUUUUCUAAAUGAAACUACUUUGUUAGCCACCCGAUGUUACUAUGACGAUGUUUAACGUGUUGCUGCUAAGGUUUUGUACCGUAGACUUGGAUCCUGAUCUGGAUGGAUCGUAGUUCUUCCUGUCCCUCAGUAGGGACUUCCUCCUUGUGUAACAGAUAAAUAUGUCCCCCCCCCUCUUCCUCUGUGCGUUGUGCUUUAUACCCCCCGAGACUAAUGUCAGUUCCUGACUGGUGUUUGUUUAUUAAACAACAAUAUUUACCUCUA
ensembl:lncRNA